rnacentral:rRNA from 1 species
CCUACGGGAGACUGCAGUGAGGAAUAUUGGUCAAUGGGCGGGAGCCUGAACCAGCCAAGUCGCGUGAGGGAAGACGGUCCUACGGAUUGUAAACCUCUUUUGCCGGGGAGCAACGGGGUCCUUGCGAGGGCCCGAUGAGAGUACCCGGAGAAAAAGCAUCGGCUAACUCCGUGCCAGCAGCCGCGGUAAUACGGAGGAUGCGAGCGUUAUCCGGAUUUAUUGGGUUUAAAGGGUGCUUAGGCGGGCUGUUCAGUCAGCGGUCAAAUGUCGGGGCUCAACCCCGGCCUGGCGUUGAAACUGGCGGGUGCGAGUGGGCAAGAAGGGUGCGGAA